rnacentral:snoRNA from 1 species
AAGCGAAGGUCCCAGCGGAGGGGUAUGAGACUCAAAAUGUGAGACCUCUCUAACACCAUAUGAUACCUUCGUAGACUGUGAUGCUCGGCCGAUUUGUAGGAUGCCCAAACAGUGCUAAUUUGAUUUUUGGAGCGUCUGGAAACCUUGGCUACAUCUGA